rnacentral:rRNA from 1 species
CCCUUAGAUGUUCUGGGCCGCACGCGCGCUACACUGAUGCAUUCAACGAGUUUCUUCCUGGUCCGAGAGGAAUGGGUAACCUUUUGAAAGUGCAUCGUGAUAGGGAUAGACUAUUGCAAUUAUUAGUCUUGAACGAGGAAUUCCUAGUAAGCACAAGUCAUCAGCUUGUGUUGAUUACGUCCCUGCCCUUUGUACACACCGCCCGUCGCUCCUACCGAUUGAAUGUUCCGGUGAGCUCUUCGGACUGCGCGGUCUGCAGUUUCUGCGUUCCGUGCGGAAAGUUGCGCAAACCUUAACAUUUAGAGGAAGGAGAAGUCGUAACA